rfam:Picea glauca, whole genome shotgun sequence.
GUGAGCCUAGUGAUAGGAGACUAUCCAGCUCGGUUCGAAGAGCACUUGUUUACUACGAUUCAGGGUGAGCAGAGCGGUAAGAUAUUGAUUUGCUGCUCAAUGUUACGGCCUAAAUGUUGAACUAUCGACCCUAAU